UGAAGCAGCAACGCCGCGUGGAGGAUGAAAUACUUUUGUAUGUAAACUCCUGUAAGAAGGGAAAAAUAUUCCGAUUUAUCGGGAUUGAUUGUACCUUCAGAGUAAGCCCCGGCUAACUACGUGCCAGCAGCCGCGGUAAUACGUAGGGGGCAAGCGUUGUCCGGAUUUACUGGGUGUAAAGGGUGCUCAGGUGGACUUUUAAGUCAGAGGUGAAAUCCCAAAGCUUAACUUUGGAGCUGCCUUUGAUACUGAAAGUCUAGAGUUUGAGAGAGGGCAAUGGAAUAUCUGGUGUAGCAGUGAAAUGCGUAAAUAUCAGAUAGAACACCAAUGGCGAAGGCAGUUGCCUGGCUCAAAACUGACGCUCAAGCACGAAAGUGUGGGGAGCAAACAGGAUUAGAUACCCUGGUAGUCCACACCCUAAACGAUGAAUACUAGAUGUUGGUCUUUUUUAAGGUCAGUAUCCAAGCUAACGCAUUAAGUAUUCCACCUGGGAA
rnacentral:rRNA from 1 species